rnacentral:tRNA from 1 species
AGUACUACGCCGGAUGAACGGAAAUCAUUGAUGUUGAUUAAUACGUGACAAAAAGUCUCUGGUGCUA